UUUUUCGAAUUCUACAAAAGUCUAUAAAAAAAUUUAAAUGAAAGUUCAUAGAAGUCUACAAAAGACUUUCACUAAUUCCAUACAAAUCUAAAAAAGAUCCACGAAGUCGACAAAAAUCAUUGCUUAAAAAAAGUACAUCAAAGUUUUCAAAAGUUCCAAUUGAAUAUACCCUCGAAUUUUAGAGAUUAGAGAAUCUGAAAUUGAAUUCCAAUUGACCAAGUGAUGGGAGGGUUUUGAGUAACUAAGUUGAGGAGUUUUUUCCAUUUUCCACAAAAGGGCCGUGCAUCUCUAGUCUCUCUUGCCAUUGCCAUCACCGUCGAAGUUCUUGCCGUCGAAGUUGAUAGCCAGCCGAGUGAUAGGUUCGUUUUGUUUCACGUUCUUUUUGUUUGUAAAAAAUGAAUUAUUUACUUUUAGUAAUUUUUUUUUCUUUACUUUUAACUUUUCCCCUUGUACGUGAUUUUUAUUUGAUGUUUUGUGGUAGAAUAAAUUCUGGGCGAAGCAGAAAUGUGUAUAGUGUCCAUAGUCCUUCGUUAUCUUGAAGUUGCUCAUCGUUUCCUGUAAGAAUCAGUAUAUUAGUUCAAGAACUGCGUCUGACUACAAGAAUUAUUUUCUGGUUUUUACCAAGGCUAAUCCUUUGAUUUUGGGUAAAUGUUGAUUCUAUGUGCUCAAUAUGCAUAAUAGUGUUUAAAUCUUGCACCGGCAAAGCAUUUAUGUGACUCAAAAUGUGUUCAUUGAAAUAAAAGAAACUUGCCAGAAUGCAUGCACAGAUAUUUACUAGAUCGAGCUCGUUAUACUCCAUAUUGUGUUUAGUUAGUUUGCGAGUUACACAAGUUCUUAUUUGGUUUAUAAUGGUACAGGGAACUUGGUUUGAGAAAUUACAAGGAGCUAUGUUACCCUUUGGAUUUGCUGGUGCAAAAUCUGAUGUGUCCCUAUUUGUGAGGAACGCACAG
rnacentral:lncRNA from 1 species